rnacentral:rRNA from 1 species
CCAAUAGCGUAUAUUAAAGUUGUUGCAGUUAAAAAGCUCGUAGUUGAAUUUCGGGAUUGACGUGACGGUCGUGCCUUAAGGGGCGUGAACUGUCGCCGUUGAUUUCUCACCUUCUGGAGAAGCUCGAUGUCCUUAAUUGGAUGUCUUGUGGAACCAGGACCUUUACCUUGAAAAAAUUAGAGUGUUUAAAGCAGGCAUUUUGCUCGAAUACAUUAGCAUG